GGCGACAGGCUGAGUCACUGGUGAAGAGGAACGCCUCAAAGACGACUCUAAAGACAUUCUCUGCAUCUUAAUGUUCUGUGGCUGCUCUAACCAAGAAGACUGCACAGUAGGAAGAACAACAAAGCUAUGAGAAGUUGAGAGCAGCUUUUGGCCUGAAGGAGAAGAUGCAUCACCUAGAAAACCACUAGGAAAGCAUUAGCUGAACAAGGACAGUCUGGCCAGAUGCAGUGGACGCACGUGGUUUGUGUUACUCUUCCGCCCUCCCAGGUCUAUUUCCUCUGCGGUCCGCUCCGCGGUCCCGGGGAGCUGUCCAUCACCUUGCCCCACUGCGGGGCCACAAGGCGUGGGAGGAGGCGUGACCCAACCUGAGCCAAUCAGCGCUCUUCCCAGCACCGGCUGUCCAGGCCCAGGGUGGGAAACAGCGCUUCUCGCUACAUUUGGAGGGCCCUGAGAAUGCCUGUCUGAAGCCACUGCCAGCCUUCAUCCCCAGUGCCGAAAAGCCCGCCAGAGACUGGCAGAGCGGAAGGAUGUAGGAAGAGAAGCUUCAGCAGCACCAGUGCCCCGAGACCCCGGACUCCAGCGGCCUUGUGGUCCACCAGGCCUCCAGGACUGCUGGACUAUGUCCCCACAGUGGCUAGUGAUAAAGUUAGUAUCGUGAUUUGGAGAGCUGACCAGCAAGCAAGGAGGGAGACCCAGGAAUCUCCACGUUGCCCCGGUAGCCUGCAUUGGUGAGAGAGGAAACCCUCUGUGUGGGGAGGUUGACAAGUGGUAGCUUAAAAGUAAAGAGAGAAAAUGAAUUCUCUAGACUCACUGAACAAAAAGAAAAAUACAUACGGUGCUUGAAGCCAAGAGCCCACAAGUAACUCCAAGAGCUUACUGCUGUGAGGGAAACCCCUGUUCCCCAAUGGCCUGUGUUCCAUGAAGACAGACUUUUUCUGGGAAAACCCUGAUUUCCCCUCUGCCCUUAUUCCUUUCUACAGGAUAGAAA